rnacentral:lncRNA from 1 species
UGACUCAACGGCUGGAUACGCUCUAUUCUGCUUCCUCGAUUGCUACUUGAGGUAUCACCAGAUAGCCCUCAAGGAAGAAGACCAAAUCAAGACCACGUUCAUCACCCCAUACGGAGGUUUCUGCUACACUACUAUGUCCUUCGCGCUAAAGAACGCAGGCGCCACCUAUCAACAGGCCAUCCAGGAGUGCUUCAAAAAAUAACUACACCGCAACGUAGAGGUGUACAUGGAUGAUGUGGUUGUAAAGACUAGAAACCUCGACGACUUGAUUGCGGAUCUGGAAAAAAAAACUUUCGCAAGCUUGCAAGAGUUCUGGUGGAAGCUAAACCCAACAAAGUGCGUGUUUGGCAUACCCUCCGGAAAACUACUUGUGUUCAUCAUCAAUCACCAAGUAAUUGAAACUAACCCCGAGAAGAUCUCCGCAAUCACCAACUUGCACAUCCCAUCGUGCAUCAAGGACGUCCAGAAACUGACUGGAUGCAUGGCGACCCUCAACAGAUUCAUCUCAAGGCUUGGAGAACGGGGACUACCCUUCUUCAAACUACUCAAGUGGCAAGAUAAAUUCCAGUGGACCAAGGAGGUAGAUAAAGCCCUUCAAUAGUUGAAGGACUUCUUAUCAAAGCCACCGGUCCUCACGGCACCUAACCCUAAUGAAGACUUGCUGCUCUACAUUAGCGCGACUACCAAUGUUGUCCGCAUGGCGAUGUGGUUGAAAGACUAGAACCAGGCCAUGUAUACAAAGUACAGAGGUCCAUCUACUUCGUCAGUGAGAUGUUGUCGGAUUCCAAAUCCAGGUACCCACUAGUUCAAAAGCUACUAUAUGCAAUAGUACUGACCUCGCGGAAACUACGACACUACUUCCAAGAACACAACAACUCCAUCAUCAUAGACUUCCCCUUGGGAGAAAUCCUCCACAAUCGAGAUGCGACAGGAAGAACCUCCAAGUGGGUAGUAGAACUCGAAGCAUUGUCCCUAGAAUUCAAGUAAAGGAUUGCCAUCAAGUCACAAGCACUAGUAAAUUUCAUGGCAGAGUGGCGGCAAAAUCAAGUACCAACGCCAGCAGAGCACCCAGAGCAUUAGGUCAUAUAUUGUGAUGGAUCACUCAAGCUCGAGGGCGCCGGCGCAGGAGCACUCUUAAUCUCUCCCAAAGGCAAAUAGCUGAAAUAUGUUCUGCAAAUCUUCUGGGAGGUGUCCAAUAAUGAAGCUGAAUACGAAGCACUUCUGCACGGGCUCCGCCUGGCAAUCUCGCUGGGAAUCAAGCGAUUGUUGGUCUACGGCAACUCACUGGUAGUCAAUAAUCAUGUCCACGAUGAGUGGGACUGCCACAAGAACAACAUGGAUGCGUACUACCUGGAAGUACACAACCUAGAGAACAAGUUAUCUGGUCUGGAGUUUCAUCACGUGGCUCCUGAUAAUAACGUAGCCAUAGGCAUCUUAUCCAAGCUUGAAUCUACUCGUGCUCAAGUCCCAGCCGAGGUCUUCAUCCAUGAACUACACAAGACAUCCAUAGUGGAGCCGGCGCCAUCAAAAACCACACGGGUAUUUAUGGUGACCCGAGUGCCUUUGGAUUAUUAUGGCACAAAGUAGGUCCAAGUUGGUAAUUGGGAGUUGAGAUACAAGUCGGCUAAAUUAGUGCCAAAAAAACAUUAUUAAUUUGGGAGUGUCAAAAUUUUGUAGCGGGUCCCAUGCACUAACGAAUAAUAAAAUUGCAUUAUAGUUCAUAAGGAUCUCAAUGUGGAAUAAAAUUAAACAUGAUGCUUGACUAGUUUUAAUUGGGCAAUGUAGAUCUCACAUAUGAGAGACGUGGAUUUUUUUAUGCUCAAGCAACACACGUGUAUAUAUUUAACUACUAAGCUAAUAAAGAGAAAAAGAAAUUUAAAUUUUGACAAACAAGAAAGGGAAAUAAAGCUUGAACAAAUCAAAUUAGAAAACAACCAAGCUUUGUUGAGCACUGAUGAGUAUCAGAAAAUCCUUAGUUGAAAAGAUCACAGAAAUAAACAUAUUAGGGGCUAUAGCAGCGCAUAUAUACAACUGAUGAGUAAGGGCCUCUUUGGAACAUAUGAUUCCCAAAACGUACAAAUGAAAAAAAAAAUAGAGUUACAUGAAACUUGCAAUACUACAUGAAUUCAAAAUGCAGGAAAGUUUAUGUAGUAGCCUUUGGAUACAACACAGGAUAAACACAGGAAUUCGAAGCGAGAGAGACACACACAUAAACACACAUACAGGAAAGUUUUCAUAAGGUCCUCCAGAAUUCCUAUGGAUUCAUGCAUCCCAUAAGAAUUCCAAGGAAUUUAAGGGUGCAAUCCUUUGUUCCAAAGGGUCACAUAGGAAAUUUUCAUAUAGGAUCGAAAUCCUUCAAAAUUGCUAUGGUUUUCCUUUGCUCCAAAGGGGCCUAAACUGACACUAAUGUUUUGGUGGUUGUCCGCCGCGGCUAGAGCUAACUGCAUAGAACGUUUGCGUCACUUGACAUGCGAUGAUGAUGAGAGCCACUAGUAGUACGAUGAUGAUCACUAUGUUCUUAAACUGGCAGAACCAUCCCAUGAACCUGUGCACGCGGUUCUCGCAGCGCUCCUGCAUCUCGUGCCACAUGGGCAUGAGGUAGUUCCUGUCGAUGUUGUCGACGUCCAUGACCACUCCCUUGCAGAGGUCGGCGAAGCCUUGAGCGACCUGCUCGUCGCUGGCGAGGAAGUGUUCCACGAUCCCUGAGUGAACCAAGAGCUUCACGUCCUCCACCGUGCCUGCCACCUGCGACAUGAAGAGGCAGUACGCCGUGACAGGUCUCCGGGAGAUCUGCUCCUCCAGCGCCAUCAGGUUUCGCAGGACCGUCCACGUCAUGCCAUCAACCCGCAGGCGGGGGACCCACAGCGUGCCUCCUUGAAGGCGCACGUCGAGGAAGGUCCACUUCUCAUUGUCCUGGAAGACCUGACGCUUGAACCGCACGUUGCCGUACUUGCAGUACUCCGUCGCGCGGCGCCACCGACCCGUGCGAGGGCGUGCAGCGUUCUCUUCCAUGGCCGGAGGUGGACUAGUUGGCUGCAAGUAGAAGUGCAAUAAGUGCAGCAGAUGGGGUGUCGGCGGCGUCAGAGCCGGAGCCGGCCGCCGGUGCUUGCUGAUGUAGAGCUGUACCUGCAGCACCUCCUGGACAUAAUCUGCUAUGGAUUCGAGGGCGGAGCUGGUGGUAUCACCUGUGACGCGCUCAUGGAUCUUCUGUAGCACGAAGAAAGGUAUCUGGUUCUCAACGAGGAAGACGGUGUCGCGGACGACGGUGUUGUUGUCGCCGCCGCUAAAUGAGCCGCCGUCUUGGACAUCUCCCCCUACUGUUUGCGCCGGGUCUCCGUCUUUACCAGUUGAGCUAUGUGCUAACUUCUUGUCGGCAUUAUUUCCUCUCUGAUAGUCCACCAUGCAAGCGAGGAGGAAGCACCCAUCACGUAGCAACAUUGUCGACAGCUCUUCCGGCGUCAUGUGGCCAACACCAUCGGGGUAGCAAGCCCUCGCUAGGGGCUCCAGUUUCUCCGCUAGACCCGUAAGACCACCUUUGAUUUGGUCCUCUGAGAGGCUCUGAAAGAAUCCUACACAGCACAGCUUCUCCUUUUCAAUCCGUGGGGACGAGCAACUCGCAUGGUAAGGGCCGAUAGACACGGAGUGUGGAGUGUAGCUGUUGACGUCGCCGGCACGGACUUGAUCACGGACCUUGGAGAUGAGGACACUUCUGCUCCACCUGCGUCUCCGUGCCAUUUCAGCUUCUUCGGUCAUGGCUUGUUUCCCUGCCUCCAAGUCGGUGUCAACAUGUGGGACUCGUGCACCUGCAUGCAGGAAGUAACUAAUUAAUCAGCGCAUAGCGUGCGAACGUACCACCAACGACACCAUAUUUGUUUGUUGAUGAGGACAACAGAUCUGUGAUCUGACUAGAGAAAAUAACAAUUAAACGGAAAUAAUGCUGCAGCAUCAAUCAUGAUGCUAACGUGCACUAGCCUAUUAAGUGGUCGACCAACCCAAACUAAGAACUUGAUUCUCCGAAUAACGCUGUCCAAGUUGGUAGAGUGAUAGUAGUCGUUGUAACAAGAUCGAUUAACUUCUACUCACCUGAUGACCACAGGGAGAGCGUAUCAGUGGUCAUGUGUUUUUGUGCUAUUUUUUGUGUUUUUGCUGCAACUAAGAUCUGCAUGGGUGUUAUUUUUUGUGCAUGGUGUUUUUGCAUGUCUUAGUUGCAGGAAGAAGCAGUGACUCUUUGUGGCUAGGCUAAUCGUUUGUGUCUCUCAAUCUUUUUCUUUUUCCUGGUCUAAUCAAUCAUAUUGCUAACAGAGUACUGAACAGACUGAGGCCCUUGCAUUGUCCCUGUGAGCGACUCGGGGGGCGGACGCCACCGAGCCCCCGCUGUCCAUGCGCCGCCACCAGCGGUGGCCUGUCGCUCCCCACGGCCAACGAGCCUCCAAUCUCUUUACUAACCCCCGCCCCCCCCCCCCCCCCCCCCCCCCACACACACACACACACGCACGCACGCACACACCCAAACAAAAACCCAAUGUAGCAACGUCUGCUGGUGGGCCCACAGGCCACAGCAGCGAUGAUGGCGGUGCCACACGGCCUGGCAUGACUGCAACGGCAUGGGCCUAGGGCGAAGCGGCUGCGGCAGCCCAUGGCCUUGCACUGCUGUGGCGGCGUGUGGCCUGCCAGGCUAUGGUGCGAGGCGUGCGACUCUGGCAUUCCCGUCGGUGCAUCCGGUGGCCAGUGGCACAGAUGUGACGAAGCCGUGCUAGGGACGAUGGUCGGUGACUGCAGUCAUAUUUGGCGUUCUUGUAACAGGUGCUCAGAAACUCAUCAUGCGGCGACUGUGAUACGGAGCGCACUUCAUCGAUGCCAUUGGGUCUCAGGUGCUUCAGCCUCCCGUGAUUGGCAAUGGCGUGGUAAGGGAUGCAUCUCGUCGACCCUUAGGGCUAUGUUGUGGUGGGCUAGGGUACGCUGGUGAAAUCCAUGGUGAUGAUGCCUUUGGGCAUCAUUUU